rnacentral:tRNA from 1 species
GGUCUCGUGGUCUAGCGGUAUGAUACUCGCUUAGGGAGUUGCUUCACAGCGACUUGAAAACUCUAAGCCAAUUGCGAGUGGUCCCGGGUUCGAUUCCCGGCGAGACCC